GCGGACUGUUGGAGCACAUGAAUGGGAUCCGUUUUUCUCCAAACCGAAGGAUGCUAACAACGGGGAUUCUGGUGGCAAUUCAGCUGAAGCUGCUAAGAAUUCUUGGGAAACCGAACAAAGGGCUGGUAAUCUUGACCGGCAAGCCAGGUCGAUUUGAGUAACUUGUCCAUUAUUCAGCAGGAGUUCUAUACUGUUCAGACCAUUCAGACAAUUUGGAGAUGAAAGCUGAGGUUCAUUGGGAACAAGAUUCUAGAUCAUGAUCGGUGAACUUAUCAUGGUACUUGGCUGGAGACCUUAAACCUAUUUGUUGGUUACUCAGACCUUUAGAAGUAGUCACAGA
rnacentral:misc_RNA from 1 species